CUUUCUCUCUCUCUAGUUAGUAAAGAACAGGCAACGUUUGCCAUGGAAGACUCUACAGUGUACAUCCCAACCCUCUACGGCCGUUGCUGCUCCACCCGGGCAUUACCACAUCCACCCGGGUCUACAAGAAACCUCCAGGGCCGAGCUUCAACCACAGAACACCUCGUCACCGUUGAGGAGGUUCCACGCCCCGGACCACAGCCAUGUUAGCCUCGAUAAUAAAACUUGGCGCACUUAUUCUGAGACGUCCUCGCGAGUGAGUGUCCUAAUUGCCUUUACUGAUAAUGUCACAGGUAUCCGAUGGUUCAGGUGUGAUGUCAGAUAUUUUUGUUAUUGUGUCGUAAAUAUCCAGUGAUUAUUUCCGAGUCGCUGAAUGUUCAUCGCACACAGUUUGUCUUUGAGUAAAAACACUGAUUAAUAUCCAUGAUCGGUUAGAUUACGAACUCCCUCAAUUUCAGACUGGAGAGCUACACAACACUGGUCAUCUGCUGAGUGGUUGAUUUCCUGGUCUACCGGCCCCUGGAGGAGUGGUCAAUUUCCUGGUCUACCGUGGAUAUGAGUGGUUGAUUCCCUGGUCUACCCCUGGAUGACGCGGCUGUUCCUAUGCAGGGGAAGACUCACACAAGCGAUAAGCACCUGUCGGACCUGGAGACUCCCCCCUGAGCCUGACGGUGGAGCUGUGGGCCCUGCACCAGACCCCCACACCCCCCCACACCACCCACAGCAGGGGCAGGGCGUUGAGACUCCCCCCACAGGCUAAGACAGCGAGGGACUUGAAGAUCCAGAUGUCUAAGGUUCCGCCCAUGCAGCUGAAGGGUGCCAAUGCCUACACAUGCAUCGACCACAGGUGUGCGCUGGACAUUGCCUACAAUUCAUGGUGCAAAUGGGAGUGUCAGCGGAGAUUGAGGUGGCGGAAGGUUGGCGGCCGGGUCAAGCUCGCCCCGGACAAGGAGUUCUGUGAGAUGUGCUCGGCGGAUGUUGUUGACCUCGAAUACAUCAAUCUUACUAAGGUGGAGGAGGCGUGGGACUACAUCUACAUUGACGACGGACUCAAGGAGAUCCCUGAGACUACUAUUAUUACUAUUACUACUAUGUGUACUAUUAAAUCCUCUA